GGUAAUACAAAUAUAAUAAAUGUAAAUUACUCGUUUCUUAGUAAGGUCAAAUCGUAAACCUACCUCCAUUGUUCCAUCAAAUUACAAGUGGAGUAGCUUAAAUUAUUGAGUUUUGUCUACAACACUUCUUCUAGAACUUUUGGCCCACAACCAUGUGAAACUUGGUCCGUACUAUCUUCCAUUAGUCCACUCGUGUCCCAAAAUAUUUGUAUUCAGUUUUGUUUUUGUUUGAGCCUUGGGCCUUUUUCCUGGGUCGGUUCCUUGGGCUUAGACAACUCUCUCUUUUCACAUUUGACAUGCUAUAUAUUUUGAGUAAUGAACCGUUUCAGAAAGAAAACAAACUUGUGUUGAUGAAAUAGAUAGAUCGACAUAAUUGACAGUGACAAGAUCGAUAGGGACGGAUCAAGGGAAAGGUAUAGAACACCCUUGUGUAUAUUUGGUAAUGAGGUAAACAAUCACGGGAUGACCUAGUGGUUGGUAUGAAUUCCUGGCCCGAAUUUUACAUGGCACAUCCUAGGUUCGAUUCAUGGCACUGGUGAAUCACACACUGGUGGCUAAAGGGAGACUGAAAUACCUGUGUGAGUCUUUCCGGCCCCUAGAAGAGCGGACUAGCAUGGCGAAGCCACCAACUGGUCCCCUUUUAAAAGAAAGAAGGUGAUGAGGUAAUGUAGAUAUUCUCUCUAUGUGUUUGAUAUGUCGUUUAUAUAUUCAAUUAGUUGUUAUGGUUCUUGUUCAUCUACACACCCAUUUCUUGAAACCAAAAAAAGGACUACAAUAUUAGAACUUGUACGAAAUUAGAUGUGUCUUGAUUUGCUUAGCUCAAUUUGAUCAACGUGAAAUGGGUCAAUUUUAUAGAUCAAGGGAAUGGUGGUUGAUAAUCUGGCAAAUAAUAUGAACUUUAAUUUCUAUGGGCAAUGUUGUGUUUGAUGAUAUCUCUAAGGUUAUUUGGAUUCGGGUUGUUUCUUUAUGUUGAUUUUUCCUUUUGUUUAGUUUUUGCUUGGGCCUUAAGCCCACUUCGCUUCAUUUUUUUUCCUCGGUUUGAGAAUUUGGAUUUUUAUUGAAAUUGUGAAACUCAAAAGUUGGGGAUUAUGUACAAUUUUUAUAGGGUCAAAUAUAAUUCAUGUGAAUGUAAAAAAUGUUUCAGAUUGUAGAGGAAUGCUGAAAACACAAAAUGCUUGGUUUUCGAAAAAAAAAAUGUGUUAAAGGAUCGUAGGUACUGAACAAGGAAGAAGAUGAGUAUGAUGGAGAAAUAAAAUUUCUUACUUGAGGACCACCCUGGGACUCUUGUGUUCUUCUUUUCCAUUACUAAUUCAUCAUCCAUUAAACACCUAGGAAAGGAGAAAUCAAAUUCAUCUGCCAAGAGAUAUGCUUAUGUGAUGAACAAUGACAGCAAUAACAGGAUAAAUUAGUAAUUGUAUGUUACAACUGAACAUAAAAAUUAGAUGGAGGGCUAUCAAAAUAACAAUUAGUACUUAGUAAUUGUAUGAUAUUCGAUCAUUACCUAUUUUUAAUUUUGAAAAUUAAGACUUUGUUAAAUCAAAGAAGAAACCGGGAUUAAAUGUUUACUAAUUAUGAAUACAACUCAUCGUUCAGGAUGUAUAUAAUUUUUAACAAGCCCACGGUUUUAAUAGGAUUAGAGAGUUUGAAUUUCUUCUAGUUAAAUUUGCGUUUUGAUUAGGUAUGUGAUUGAACCAAUGAAAUUCUUCCAUUCAAACAUAAUAAAGAGAAGAAGCCAUCGAAGAUGGAUUUUAACUGUGGGAAUAAUUAAUUAAAAAACUUGACGAACAAGUGAGCUUUCUCUAUCACUGACUUUUAUAUUAUAUACAUCACAAACAUGAAUUUUGUCCAUGUGUAUGACCAAAUAAAUGAAGAAAAUAUUGGACAAGUAAAUUAACCAAUCUCUUUCGUGCCUUACAUUCUAGUGCAUCAAGUUUGGAAGCCGCACAUUGAAUUAAUGGAACCAAACAGACAAAAAAAUAUUAUUAUAACUAAUCCAGUAGACUAGUCGCUUAGUAUUAUGGUCUACUGGUAUUUUUCUUCACUUGUAAAUAAGAUGUCUUAAGUUCGAUUAUGUCAAAGACGAAUUUGAACUACUUUAUUGCUAGUUCAUUAUGAGGCUAAGCUCACCCUUCCCCCUUAGUAUAGAUAAUAUCGUUUGUUAAAAAAAAAAAAAAAAAAAAAAAAAAAAAAGUGAUCAAGUAGACUAAUCAGAUCAUCUCCCAGGAAUAGUUUUAGCUACAACUUUUUUGCAGUCGUGGCUCUCUCCAUUGCCAUUCACCUUUGCAAUUCCUAUAGUAUCCAAAAAUGCAUUUCCUUUUUUAGUCUUCUUUUUUGACGCCUACAAUGCUAAUCACCACAUGCCCUUUGAAAAUAAGUCCUUUUCUAAUUACAACUAAGCAAUCAAGAGCAAAUGUUUACAACUUUACAUGCAUGCAUCUAGUCAAAAAAAGUAGAAGAACCAAUGAGACACGAUUACAUCCCACACAUAAUUUGCAUCACACUUUUAGGCAUGAAGAGCAACAAAAGGGGCAACACCUCUUAAAGGCCGUUUGAUAACACGCAUCUCGUUUUCAAUUUUAUUUUUUUCAAUUGUGUUCCCUUCCAACAAAUUAAAAAAUACGAUCCAAUCUAUUACAAGCAUGAGCAGGCACGUACAUAAAAGAAUAUGACCGCAUCUGUUUGCCUUCCAACGCUUCUUCCUUUUUUUUUUCCGUUGCCUAAUCCUAGAUGGAAUGUAACGAUGUAGGAAUUCAUAUGUUAACAUAAUACCUAUUUAGAUAUACUCGAAUGACCACUUCUCAUUAUUAACCCUAUUCUGGUCUAAUUCGGUAUGGAAUGAACGUAUAAUCAUGAAACUGACUUGAUCAUCAUGUUAUGGAUUAUGAAUUCAUAACCCUGAUCCAGUCCCAUUUUGGACGUACCAACAAACCUAUUAAUUCUUGUACAAGCUAAUUUUAAAGUCUAGCCAUGAAAUGACAUUACCUAACAGAGCAAUCAAUAUUCUAAAAAUAAACAAACACAAGAUAAGAGUGCUGAUAAACCCACCCCAUUAUCUUAUUUCUUCACCCACAUUUUAAUGAAAAUAUUAGAGACAUGUUUAUCCUUCUAGAAAAAGACUUUUAAACCUUACCCAUUUUCUCUCCCUCACCGUCUCUCUCUCUCUUCAUCUCCAGUUUUCUCUUUCAUUUCAUCUCUCUCCUCGACUUCAACCGCCACGACUGAAGAGGUUGUUGGUCUAGUACUUUCAUUGUAGCUUCAUUGUAGGCUUCCUUUACCCUUGUGUCAUUUUUUCCCUAAAAUUCAUUUCACGUCCUAAUACUUAGAUACAAUUAAAUCUCGAACAUGGGGUGGGUCUGGGAUUUUGCCCUUGUAUCAUUUCAAUAGGGAUUUUGGGUUGGCGAGGUUGAAAAUAGAGGCAGAAGGGGAAGAGGGAUGGGAUGAUAAGGGGGAAGAGGGUUAGUUGUCCUUCACGGGCUACUCUUUCUUCCCUACUUUGUCCCUUGACUCGCAACCAUGGCUACCAAUUAACGAAUUUUGCUGCCAAAAGAAGUUGAGGGAAGGAUUGGGGUGCAAAGAGUACAAUGAAGAGGUGGUGAUGUGAUAUAAGGUUAUUUUAGGAAUAAUAGUGGGUGGAGAAAUGGGAUUUUAGUUUUUAAUUUUUUUAUAAUAUGUGAAAUUAUACUGUGGAUGGAAAAAUAGGACAAUAAGAUGGGUCUAUCAUCAUUAGCUUGGACAUGGU
rnacentral:lncRNA from 1 species